UACGUAGGGUGCAAGCGUUGUCCGGAAUUAUUGGGCGUAAAGGGCUCGUAGGCGGUCCAUCGCGUCGGGAGUGAAAAGCUGGGGCUUAACCCCAGUCCUGCUUCCGAUACGGGUGGACUAGAGGUAGGUAGGGGAGAACGGAAUUCCUGGUGUAGCGGUGAAAUGCGCAGAUAUCAGGAAGAACACCCGUGGCUAAGGCGGUUCUCUAGUACGGUACUGACGCUGAGACGCGAAAGCGUGGGGAGCGAACAGG
rnacentral:rRNA from 1 species